GUUUCAGGGCGUGGUGAAAGUCCACACCGGCGGUGAUAGGAGCGAUGUUUUGUGAGAUUCUCCUUAAGUCCGCGAGCAUUUGCAGAACCAGUGAGAAUCUGGUACCGACGGUAUAGUCCGGAUGAAAGAAA
rnacentral:ncRNA from 1 species